GCGGGUGUAGUUCACUGGUAGAAUGCGACCUUCCCAAGGUUGAGAAGCGGGUUCGAUUCCCGUCACCCGCUCCA
rnacentral:tRNA from 2 species